rnacentral:tRNA from 1 species
GCGGGUGUAGUUUAGUGGUAAAACCUCAGCCUUCCAAGCUGAUGAUGUGAGUUCGAUUCUCAUCACUCACUCCA